AUUGAACGCUGGCGGCAGGCCUAACACAUGCAAGUCGAGCGGAUGAAGAGAGCUUGCUCUCUGAUUCAGCGGCGGACGGGUGAGUAAUGCCUAGGAAUCUGCCUGGUAGUGGGGGACAACGUUUCGAAAGGAACGCUAAUACCGCAUACGUCCUACGGGAGAAAGUGGGGGAUCUUCGGACCUCACGCUAUCAGAUGAGCCUAGGUACGAUUAGCUAGUUGGUGAGGUAAAGGCUCACCAAGGCGACGAUCGUUAACUGGUCUGAGAGGAUGAUCAGUCACACUGGAACUGAGACACGGUCCAGACUCCUACGGGAGGCAGCAGUGGGGAAUAUUGGACAAUGGGCGAAAGCCUGAUCCAGCCAUGCCGCGUGUGUGAAGAAGGUCUUCGGAAUGUAAAGCACUUUAAGUUGGGAGGAAGGGCAGUAAGUUAAUACCUUGCUGUUUUGACGUUACCGACAGAAUAAGCACCGGCUAACUUCGUGCCAGCAGCCGCCGUAAGAC
rnacentral:rRNA from 1 species